rnacentral:rRNA from 1 species
UACGGAGGGUGCGAGCGUUGUUCGGAAUCAUUGGGCGUAAAGGGCGUGCAGGCGGCUGGGUAAGUCUGAUGUGAAAGCCCGGGGCUCAACCCCGGAAGUGCAUUGGAAACUGUCCAGCUUGAGUACCGGAGAGGAUGGGGGAAUUCCCGGUGUAGAGGUGAAAUUCGUAGAGAUCGGGAGGAAUACCAGUGGCGAAGGCGCCCAUCUGGACGGAUACUGACGCUGAGACGCGAAAGCGUGGGGAGCAAAC